AAAAAGGAAAGAAAAAACAUUGUCCCUAUUUUUAGGUUUCUCCCAAAUGAAUUGUUGCUUCAUGUUCCUUCAUCCUCAGGUGAAUUGUUUCUCCUGUCUCCUUUAUGCUCAACAUUGUGAAAGGUGUGGAUCACCUUUCAAAGGUGGAUCACCUUUCAAAGGUGAGCUUCCUCAUAUAUUGGAAAAGUGAAUUGUUGAUCAUCUUGCAAAGAUGAGCUUCUGCCUUUGGUAUGCCAUCUGGUGAAUGCGAUACUCAAAGAAAGACAUCCGGUUCUUAAUGUUGGUGCUCUUAGAUAUUGGUAGUCAUUUGAUGUUGCUGGUUCAAAGAUGCCUAAUUUCGAAAUCCCAACAUAUAAGAAAGAGAUGUAAACAAAAUGCAGCCAUUGAACUUUGUUAAGUCCUUAUGCUUUCUUUAUCUUUGCAUAUAAAUCCCAUCGAUGGUAUGUCUGCAGUUUCUUUCUGUCUUCAGCUUCUUUUACUUUUUUCGUAGAGAAAUGCUCCUUUAUCGUUUUUUUUUGUAGAUAAAUGCUUCGCUCCUUUUUGUUUCUUGUAGAGCUCCCAGUUUGCUU